GAUUUUCGAAAUUAAAAGGGUAUUUUUGAAUUUUCAUUCCACCAAAAUUAACAAUUCCCCCUGGACUUUGCCACUUAUCCAAAAAAAAAAAAAAUGACGAAUGAAUCAUAAACCCUAGAUAUGAAAGCCAGGAAUAAAUCACCACUUGCAACGUCUUGCUCCGCUUGUGCUCCGGUACUGCACAGCAGUGUUAUCUAAUAUCCGCCAUGGUGGAUAUACAUGGCGGUUUUUGGGCUCGUCGCAAUGGUAAAUGUUGGCUGAUAUUGUGGGUUUUUCCGUCAUAAUCCGCUAUAAUGGUGUGGUAAAGUGGCCGGUAUUGCGGGAUUUUGGCUCUCCGCGACAACAACACUGCUGCUCGGGUGACGCAGAAUACCAUAGGGAAGACACAAAUGAACUGUGUUUAGUCUCACGACAAAUGGAAGCUUGCUUGAAUGAAACAUCAGAGAUCAAAAUCCCUAUAAUCAACGACAAUUUAAAGUGUCCGUCACAAAGUGAAAGAAGGACAGUGCAGUCAAUUAUCAUUUUGCUGGAUGCUUUGGAAAGAAUGCAAUCACACUUAGCUGCAGUUUCAAAUGAUGCCUUUUUUACAGGUUUGCAUUUUAUUACUCAAAUUUACUGGGUACGUAGUAUGUAGCAAUGUUAACAUGGCUCCUCUCAUCCUUUCUAGUUGCACAUUUUGGUCUUCCAAAUAUUUAUCAAAUACUUCGGUGUUUUGGGAUAUUUCAUUCAUGAAUGAAAGUUAAAGUCGAUUAGGAUAUUCGAAUCUAGAUAAUAAUGUAUUUAUAAGAAUUUUUUCCUUAAGUGUAAGAUAGAUUGUCAAAGAUUUUUGUUGUAACUACAAAGUUUAUUUUCCAGACAUGUGGCAUUCAUUUUAACAUUGGUAGAAGACAGUUGUUACAUCGUAUGUAGGAAAUUUUUUUAAUUAAACCUCAUUCUUCCAUAAA